GCAUUGGUUGUUCAGUGGUAGAAUUCUCUUCUUCCAUGAAGAAGACCUGGGUUCAACUCCCGGCUAAUGUA
rnacentral:tRNA from 1 species